CGUAAGACAGACGUUGCGCAUGCUCUAAAGCUCAUUCCGUUUACGUGAGAUAAAUGGCGUGAGCAGGUGCGCGUGUGGUGGGUGAGAGACUGGAAAUGGAAUCAAGAAUCAUCUGAUUAAUUAUCUGAAAUAACCUGGUGACCAGCAUGGUUAUUUCAGCAGUGCUGUGCAUCCUACUCCAAAAGUAAUCCUGCCUUUGGGGGAACACAAGGUCCUCUGGAGGAACUUAAAAGUCAGGAAAAAAAAACAGUGUGAGGUGUCAGGAGACUUGAGACUACAAUAGUCUAUAAACCUUACAUCCAAAGGGAGAGUAGGAGCCACUGGCUGAAAAAUAAAGAAUAUCAUGGCAGACUUGGACAAGAAUGAUGCUAUUGAUGCAUUUGUGGAUGCUGUUAAAAGAAGUUCCAAUCAGAUGACAUCUUACAAACUACUAGUUACUAGUUUUAAAGAUUGAAUUUGACUGUUUUCUGCAAUUGAAAAAAUAAUAAUUAAAUAUUUAUUUCAACUGUGCUUUUGUUUCUGAGCUACUAUGUAUGGCUUACUUAGUCUUAUUAAUAUUACUGGACACUGACCUAUUGAUUCAAUUUAAGUUGAUCAGAUAAUGUUGGAAUACCAUUAUAGGCAUGUUGGUUGCACCAAAACGUGCACAACUUCAUCAGGAAAUUGUUGACAUACCUGUAUUAAGUAAAUCCAAUAGGUCAUUUUUUUGAAUGCUCACAUCUUGAAGAGCACUUAAAGUAUACAAACAGGAAUUAUUUCCUGUAUGUAAUCAACACAUCAUUUCCUCUGCAGAUUAGCAAUUGUAAUAUAGGAGGUUGUUUUUCCAUUACAUGUUUCAGUAGGUUCUUCACUGGAACUGAGUUGGCCUUCAUUUAUCAGAUGACUGAGAUGCAGGAACGCGUGUAACAAGAAAUCUUUUAUCCACAAGCUCAUUAGGAUCACACAGCAUAUAGUGUAUUUCACAAGCCGUGAAGAAGUGGAAAAUGUACAGUACAUACACGCACUUUUGGAUUUUGAUCAUCCAAAUAAAUUAUUAAACUUUUGCCAUUAAAUGUGUGAAGGGGCCCAUCCUCUAUCACUUCAGUGUGAAGUAAAUAAGAUUCAUGCAAUCCACUGUUAAAGGCUGGUAUUUAUGCUUUUAUAUAUAUUGUAAUUCAUGGUAUCUAUAAAAGAGAAUCCAUACAACUCAGAAUAUUGAAAAUGUUUCAAUAACUACAUGAGUAUAUUAUGUGUAUUAUGUAUUUUCAUUAAAUUUAAGGCUUUGUUUACAAUUCA